AGCUCCAGUAGCGUAUAUUAAAGUUGUUGCAGUUAAAAAGCUCGUAGUUGGAUUUCUGAUAGUAGCGUUGGGCCCGCCCGGGUUACCGGUGUGAGUGCCUGUUCGCUCCUUUCAUCCUUCUAGAGAACGGUUCUCUCCUUCAUUGGCAGUGGGAUCGCAAUCUAGAUCUUUUACUUUGAAAAAAUUAGAGUGUUUAAAGCAGGCUUGUGCUAUGAAUACAUUAGCAUGGAAUAAUAAUUUAGGACUUUAGUUCUAUUUUGUUGGUUUCUAGAACUGAAGUAAUGAUUGAUAGGGAUAGUUGGGGGUGCUAGUAUUCAGCGGCCAGAGGUGAAAUUCUUGGAUUCGCUGAAGACUAACUUAUGCGAAAGCAUUCACCAAGGAUGUCUUCUUUA
rnacentral:rRNA from 1 species